rnacentral:lncRNA from 1 species
CCACGUGACCACGUGACUGCCUUUACAACAGGCGUGAAAGGCAACGACUUGACCAAACAAGAAAUUGAAUCAGUACUGGUCAAGAAAUUUGGAGAAACACUCACCAAGGGUGCAUUAACCUGGUAUUCUCUUUUAUCUGAAAAUUCUAUAAAUUCUUUUGAUGAGCUUGCAGAUUCUUUUAUUAAAGCACAUUCGGGAGCACAAAAGGUUGAAAAAAGAAUGGAAGAUAUUUUCAAAAUCAAACAAGGGGAUUCGGAGUUGCUUAGAGAUUUUGUUGAUAGAUUCCAGCGUGAAAGAAUGACUCUACCCCGUGUGCCUGACAACUGGGCUGCAAUAGCCUUUGCAAGUAAUUUAAAUGACAAAAGUUCUGAAGCCACGAGACGACUCAAAGAAAGCCUUCGAGAAUUUCCUGCAACCACGUGGAAUGAUGUUUACAACAGGUAUAGUACGAAGCUGCGAAUUGAAGAAGAUACCGUACCUAAGU